CAGCUGUAAAACAAAGACAAUACAGAACUACUUAUUUAGUGCCACCUAGGCAAUGUGAUCUCCCUAUGAGUAUAUUUAAUAACCAGACUAGCUCCAGAUGCUUUUGUUAAUGAGAGUAGUGUUUAAAAGAAGGAAGGCUGAUUUCUCUGUGCCUUGCUUAGAUCUUGUCACAUGGGCCACAAAGUGGUUGCAUAGCAGUGCCAUUCUUCUUUGAGCUGAAAAAAGAAUUGGCUUCCCAUUAAGUGUCACAGAGCAUCAUGCCCCUAAAACUUUCAUAAGAUUAAAAAGGCAAAAUUCUGAUUUUAAAAUGAGAAACAUACUUGUGAGACACUGACCAAUUCUCAUAAUGUUUAGCUUAUAUUGUUUGCUUUAUGGUAUGUUGUAUAAUACCUGCUUCAUUUGCUUACCUUGUAGGCUCUUUAAUGUUAUUCAGUGUAAUAAUCAUAGCUAUUUCUUCAUAUUCAGAAUUCAGUACUUUCAGUCCAGGUCAAGAUGGGAAAAUUCUUUGACUCAGCCAAGAUGAAUUUUCACAUAGGGCAAUAAGAUCCUCAGUAACUUUGUGCUGGUGAAUACAUACAUUUAACAGUUUGUGAAGAAUCAUGAGCUUCUUGGAACUGGCACUUGCGUUACAGCUUCCAGUGGAGAAACUGGCAUUUGAAAGCAUGGGAGAUAAAAAAGCAGGUGAUGGCAGCAUAGAGGAGUUCAUCCUGCUACUGUCCACAUGUUAUACAUUUUGUGAUUUAAAAAGGAUUUCAAACUACUAUAAAAUUUUGAAAUACUGCUAUGAAGAAACAUAUUGUUACACAAGUCAUGGAAAUAAUCACUCCCUACAAAGCAGUGCUAAGUUAAGAAACAUUUUAAGAAGGAGUUUCUAGGCUUGCUAUCAGGCAGUUGCACUAUUCACCAGCACUGGACAUUUCAGUACAGAAGAGCUGGCUGGCAGCCUUAGCACAGUAACAGCACAACUCAAACAAAUGAUUAUUACAGUUAAGAUGUGAUGAUAGCAUCUGUGAAAAUGUAACCAACCCAUCAAGGAACAUGCAGAAUUGAAGUGAACAGUUGCACUGGCAGUAGAGACUAGCAAUCAUAAGUCAUCUAGCAGCCUAAGUAUAGACAAAGCUGAGGAUCUGAAAAGCAUCCCAAGCACAUAUCCAUCAACAUUGCUUGAGGCUGCUCUACUGUGGAGGUAAACGAUACAGGACAAAGAGGGUUUGAGCUCAUGUUCUGACUCCAUGCAAACUACUUUGAAUAGGGUUUUUUCCCUCCAUAUAUAUUUAUAUGGGUCUGAGAAAGAAUUUGCAUCUCCUUAUUUCAUCCAAGAGAGUUGAAGGUAUUUGAGAGGUGGAGAAACGAGUUACUUCAUGAAGGGGCACUGACAGUUUUGCAAGACGGACUCGGUGAAUACAGAUUCUAAAUCUCUGAGUAAAAAAGAUAUGUGAACAUAACGUAAAUAGACAAAUUAAGAAAAAAUUCUGAUUCUGGAUUGUUGGUUGCUUUUUCUUCUCAAGAAAUUCAUUAACAAAACUUGAAAAAUUGCAUCUGUUAUGAUGGCUUUAAAAAAAUUAUAAAUUCUGAAUCUCACUAGCACAGAAUGCCUCUUUAUUUUCUGGCUAGCAUGAGAGUCGGUUGACUUGUACAGUAAUACAGAACUCAACAAGAAUAAAAUAGAAGGAAAGUAUUCGGUAAAAUAAGCCCCUUGAAUUAAAUGAGAAUUCACAGCAGUAAGAUUAAAUGGGGAGCUUUUCAUCUGCUCACUCUGCAAUGUAUCUAAAAUCAACAACUGCCUGUGAAGAAAUUUAUACAAAUAACUUUAAACUUUAUUUGUUUUUCAACUGAGUAAUGCUCUAUUUGGCUACACCCAUAAUUUUGCAGUAAAAGCUGUGGCCAAAGCCUUUUCCCUACAGCUGGUAGACAAUGGAUACCUUUGUUCUAGUUUAUGUAAGUUAGGGACUACCACCCAAAGGCUGGGACUAUGAACAUCCUUCAUAUAUAUUUACAAACAAGAUAGAUGUGAGUUUAAUUAAAAUGCUAGUAAUACUUCUACACUUUCCUCAAAUUCUUGUUUGCAUGUCUAGCAUAUUAAAAAGGUUGUUUAUUUGCAGUCUCUUUGCCUUUUUUUGUUUGUUUUCUUUGCUUCUGUUGGGCUAAAGUCAUAUAGCCAGGAUCUUCACAGCAUUCAGCACAAUGCUCUGGGAAUGUGCAUAAAGUGGAAAAGAUUGGUUAAUACUUGUGAAUGGAGUAACUCUAUGGAAAGUAAGAUGCACAUCUGGAGCAGAAUUUUUUUACCUGGGAUAUUUUCAUCCUGUUCCCUUUUCUCUCCAAAAGGACAGUUAGUUUUGUUGCUUGAUACUUAGAGCAGAUACCAACUUUGAAUAGGACAUUGUUUCCCAGCCCAGAUCAG